rnacentral:lncRNA from 1 species
GCGGCUUCCUUCUAUCCCGCUCCGAGGCUGCAGGGCCCUGGCAGAGUGGCGUCAGCUGGAAGGCUGGCCAGAGCCGGAUUUUGUUGCACUCCGGGCAGGAAGAUGGCCGAGGCGGCGGCUGACGGAGAUAGUAGUGCCUUGCUGAAGUCACGGCGGCCGGCGGCGCCCUCCUGGAGGCUGACGGGACGGAGGCAGGGAACUUCCCGGUGAGCCAGCCGGGCCUAGCAGGAGCCUUCGGCGGCUGCCCAAAGCCGUGGGGACGGCUGGCUGACUCAGCCGCUCUCUGGACGGAGUUGCUGGGUCCCCACAAGCCUGCCCGUGCAGCUGAAGUGGCAGGUUAGAGUUGUGGUACUCAAACUUAAGUCCAAGCAAACAGGAGGAGCACCGGCGCGGGUUCAGUCUUUCCAAACCCAGUUCAGCCGUAAUCUCUGGAGUCAGACUUCGCCGCCCAAUUCAUGGAUUUGUGCUUUUGACUCCGCUCUGAUGUUUUUGAAUGAAUAAAGUUGCCUAGGAUACUUA